rnacentral:rRNA from 1 species
GAAAAACAAAGUCCGGGCCCGGAUGGUUUUAACAUUGAAUUUUAUCAACACUAUUGGGACCUAGUCAAAGAUGAUUUAUUUGCGAUGUUGGAGGAAUUUUAUGAACAUGAUUUAGACCUAGACAGGUUAAAUUAUGGAAUAAUCUCCCUCAUACCAAAAGGAAGUGAUGCAGAUAGAACUAAGAAGUACAGACUCAUAUGUUUGCUAAAUGUGAUAUUUAAAAAUUUCACUAAAAUUUUGGUGAGUAGACUUAUAAAGUGUUGGGGAACGUUGCAGAAAAUUAAAAUUUUUCCUACGGUUUCACCAAGAUCCAUCUAUGAGUUCAUCUAA